GGUGGUGGAUCUGGCAAUGCAGCAGCUAUGGGGCAGUCAGCUGAGUGCUAAUCUGGGGAAUCCCUCUCUGAAAUGCCUUCAGCAUGGGAGUGUAGGUAUCGGCUUCGUUGGUUGCCCUGUUGCACUGACCGUGAAACACCAUGACCUCAAAGAGCUGCAGCAUGAGGCAGGUGAUAUGAAUUCAGGAGCCGUGCAAACAUAAGACUGGCUCUGUUAGCAUUAGUGACAAAUAAGGUAAAUUAAAACUGUACCAUUAAAGGCCUGAAUUCCCA